AAAUUGAAGAGUUUGAUCAUGGCUCAGAUUGAACGCUGGCGGCAGGCCUAACACAUGCAAGUCGAACGGUAACAGGAAACAGCUUGCUGUUUCGCUGACGAGUGGCGGACGGGUGAGUAAUGUCUGGGAAACUGCCUGAUGGAGGGGGAUAACUACUGGAAACGGUAGCUAAUACCGCAUAAUGUCGCAAGACUAAAGAGGGGGACCUUCGGGCCUCUUGCCAUCGGAUGUGCCCAGAUGGGAUUAGCUAGUAGGUGGGGUAACGGCUCACCUAGGCGACGAUCCCUAGCUGGUCUGAGAGGAUGACCAGCCACACUGGAACUGAGACACGGUCCAGACUCCUACGGGAGGCAGCAGUGGGGAAUAUUGCACAAUGGGCGCAAGCCUGAUGCAGCCAUGCCGCGUGUAUGAAGAAGGCCUUCGGGUUGUAAAGUACUUUCAGCGGGGAGGAAGGGAGUAAAGUUAAUACCUUUACUCAUUGACGUUACCCG
rnacentral:rRNA from 1 species